CUAUGCAGUUUGGUUUUAGUCUAAACCUAAUUAAUGACUAUCUUACCCACCAUGGCCUGUAUCUACUAUUAUUUUAGAUGUAUUUUAUCUUGUAUCUUACUGUUUAAGCUAUCAUGUAGUAGGUAGGUACGUUUAGGUACCUCAAAGCUUCAAGGUUACAUUGUCGUAGACUGCUUCCACCCAGACAGUUGUAGAUGACAGCCCUGUGCCUGCCCCAACCUUAACAGAGGUUAUUCUUCUGAAAGGGUAGUAAAUUUGGCGCUGCAUAAGAGAUAUACGUACUGCACUAAACUUACUAGGUUGGUCAGAAUGGCUCCUACCCGUGCUCAGGUGUUGCAACUGUAUCGUGCUCUUCUGCAGUACGGUAGAACGUUACAGUUAACAGAUCAAGAGUAUUUCUACCAGAGGGUGCGAGGAGAAUUUGAAAGGAACAAAGGGAUCGUUUCAGAAAAGGAAAGAAUUUUUAUUUUG